AAACAGUUUUGCGGCAGUUUUAUGACCGUUUUGGUUUUUUUAAGUUAUUGGCCAAUUCAGAAUGUGACGUAAAGGACCAACGGCACACGGCUUUGCACACACUUGAAUGUUUGUUUAUACUGUUUUUAGCGACUCUGGUUAGGCGGCUUUACAGCUUCCUCUCUGCAGUUCAGUACACCCGUCUCUGCUGUCAGGUCCUGGCUUCAAACAGGACACCACCUCUGCCCUGCUGCUGAGCCACAAACCACACCCGCCACAUAGAACUUGGUAAUAGGUCGAUGUGUAAAGUGUGAAAAACAAAAACAAAGAAACUGAGACGCAGAGGAAAAGAGACCACUGUUUUUGGAGACCUUUUUUCUCUUACAUCAUCUCACUGACUGGAUUCUGUCAUAUUAGAGGAGAGGAAAAUCCCAAAUGUAAGCAGAGGAGAAUAGAGAAAGUGCAAAGCCCAUCUCUAUUCUCACCUCCACACCUGGAAUGUUUGAUGGAGAAGAAGACGAGAGACGGCUUUACUCCAGGAAGCGUUCAAGAAGGCGAAAUCGUCAAACUCUGCACUGGAGGAGGCCUUGGAAAUGGAAACAGCAGCCAGGGCAGCUGUGGUGGAAGCAUUGCAAAGUGAAAAAUCAUCCACGACUGAAAGCCGACAAGCAGGACCUCCCUGUUUCUGAUCUUUGGGCCAAACUUCAGGAACGAGAACUGGGGUCGCAGUCCUCCGAAGUCAGGGUGGAAGUACUCACAUCUGAGCUCGAAAGCUGUGAGAGAGCAAGGAAGCAACUCAGGAAGAGCUUAGCGGACUGUGAGAGGAGGCUGAAAGAGCAGGGAAUCUAAUCUGGUUUUGCUGAGAGCAAAGGAUACGUGUGAAGAGUGAACUACUGCACAGCUGAAGUGAAUUCCUUCUGUUGCUGCUUCUGAAGAAAAGCAAGAGCGUCAGAGGAGCUGUGCAGAUAGGAGCAGCUGGUGAAAGAAGGCCUGUGGACACACAACACUAAAGGCCUGUUUACUAUAAAGGAAUGCGGUUAGCAGUUGUCAGGGUGACUGGCCGGCCAUGAAGCGAGGUCUCGGAAACAAACAGGAAGUAAAAAGAGAACUGAGAACUGCAACUGAAACUGAAAGGGCAGUUAGUGCUCUGGUUCAACUGAAUGAGCUGUGUGUGUAAAACAAAGCAAACAUCUGCUGCUCUGACAAAAAAGUCUAAACCACAAACACACAGAGUAUUUUCCACUCAGAACACACACUCUGCCUGUUACUCGCAUGCAGUCAUUGCAUGUCCUUACUUGCACAAGUCAGCAGCAAAGCUUUCUUAUCUCAGAAGCUGCGCUCGGAGCCAACUUUGGCUCUGCCUUUUUUUCAGUCACUGAGGAAAGUCCUCACUUUCAGAGGACUUUGUUUUUACUGGACGCUCUUAUCUUAACAGCAUUAAAUAUUUACAGGGCCUGUGUCUGGGAAGCUGUAAAAACUGGACUCUGAGCUCUGUGAUAAACUUUCACCAGUUUAAAUUUCUUUCACAAGUCAUGAAUGAGGCCAAACAGCCUAUAUAAAUACAAAAAAAGUCUUUAUUCAGAUUUACAUGGUGAUUCACAUGAAGUCGUAAUGUACAGAGAAGAAACAGUGGUGACAGGUUGUGGUAAAAGCCUCUUGGCUGCAUUGCAAGAAGCAGAACAAUGAUCUGGGGUUGUUUUUUUUUUUUUUUUUCCUUUCUUUGUCUCGUUUGAACUGACUGUUGCCCUUUAUGGUAAUAAGCUAAGUGCAAAAGAAUAAGACACACCUCUGCUCCGAGUUAUCAGUGGCUCUGAAUCACAUGAAAGCAUAAAAAUAAACAAACGAAAAGAUGAGUAAAACGCACAAUACCAUGCCAACACUCACAGCUGACAUUUUGGUUGUAAUGACAUUGCGAGAGCAGAAAUAAACGUGACAGAAAAGUGCACUUUGGGUACUUAAACCUGGUCAGGUUGUUGUUUUUGUUUUGUUUUUUUGUUAAGGCAAUACAGAAAAGGGAAGUGAUGUCAGACCAGAAGACAAACUGGAGCUAGAGAAUGGAAAGAUCACUAUAAAAACAGCAGUCCAGUUAAUAUGGCA